AACGCGAAGAACCUUACCCAGGCUCGAAAUGUAAGUGGCGAUACCAGAGAUGGUAUUUUCCGCAAGGACGCUUAUAUAGGUGCUGCAUGGCUGUCGUCAGCUCGUGCCGUGAGGUGUUUGGUUAAGUCCAGCAACGAGCGCAACCCUUAUCAUUAGUUGCCAACAUUUAAGGUGGGGACUCUAAUGAGACUGCCUGGGUUAACCAGGAGGAAGGUGAGGAUGACGUCAAGUCCGCAUGGCCUUUAUGUCUGGGGCUACACACGUGCUACAAUGGUCGGUACAGAAGGCAGCAAGACCGCAAGGUGGAGCAAAUCCGAAAAGCCGAUCACAGUUCAGAUUGUAGUCUGCAACUCGACUACAUGAAGUUGGAAUUGCUAGUAAUGACGAGUCAGCAACAUCGUCGUGAAUACGUUCCCGGGCCUUGUA
rnacentral:rRNA from 1 species